GUCUUUACUUCGAAAAAUAUUGUUAAAUUCCUAUUUUUAUUAUUCAAAGUUACUGUUCAAUAAUUUGAGACGAGUGUUGGUAAACCAAUUAAGAUUAAAAAAGUUCUUAUGUACACCAAAAAAAAUUGAAAAGGUACAUUUGUCUACUGUUUUACGUUUAUAGUUUGAAAACAUGACUUUAAAUCAAGUUUUUAGUUAUAGAUUAAAUCAUAGUAUAAAACAUAGCAAAAAUCUAGCGAAAAUCUAGCGACUUUAUCUCAGAGUAGACACACGUCAGCCCAGUCUUUUUGUUACAUUCCUUAUCACCAAAAAUCUAGCGACCUUAUCUCUUCAGGUCACUAGCCAACCUAAUAUAACAUAGCAAAAAAAGAACCAACCAAACAUAACCCAUCAAAAUGCAGGCAGUUUUGUAUCUUGCAUCACCCUUUCCUCCGUAACAACCACCAAAUUUGUGGCCAGUGGUGAAACCUAGUGUGAAGAUUGUGAACCAGUUCCUAUUUGGGAGAGGCAUGUGGAACCAAGCGUGAGCCAAAAAAUUCACAAAGUUGGUUUUUGCAUUCAAAAUCUUACUUUCUUUUGUCUAUGUUAGUAUGGGAGUCUCUCAAGUUUCAACUCCGGACUCCCCAUUAGCCAAAUAGUGAAUGAAUGAGAGAGAGAGAGAGCCGGUUCACAAUCUUCACACUUGGUUCCACCACCUAUGCUUGCCAUGUACAUGCAGGUCCAUGCCAAGACCACAGAGUCCCUGAUGUACCCCAAUCAGAACUACUGGGGACCCUUCAGCCAUUGAUUACUGCUCCAUAACUUCAGGCUUUUGAGUUGUGAGACAGUUGGGGGAGAAGCUUGUG